UUUGAGGAGAGACAUUUGUUCAAGACACUUUUUUUCUCCUCUCACUGACAAUACGUAAGGCAGAAAGUUGGUGUCUACGUUGCUGCAUGGCUGCAGAAUAGAUUGUUUCGAGAAGGUGAACUCUGGAAAGGGUACAACUAGGAAAGGAGAAAGCAUGUUACGGCACCAGGAAAUUAUUAUAGGAGUGAUACCUUGAACUAUUUUGGAAAGAUCUGGGAAAAGAAAUUAAGGUCUCCAAGGAGGAACUGGAGAAUCAAUGAGUGACUGGCCUGGUCACCCUGAGCAGCAAAACACUGAAGUGGGACUACAAAAAAGGAAGUUGGCACAGGGAUAUAUGGAAACUGUUGACUCCGAGGCUCCUCAGCCACAUGUUUAGUGAUGGGCCCAGAGCUGUUGUUGCUCAGCAAGACCAGCAUUUUGGAAGAAGAUGUGAGCACAAAGCUGAGAAGAUCUGGGGAGAGCAAAGGCACACUGGAACCCCUGGUUGGUUACAUCAUGGCCGUCUCUCAUUGCUUCUCACUAUAAUGGCCUCCAGAGAGUGAUAGUUGCUCUUUUGCUUCUGUAAAUUCCUCUUUUGAAAUAUUCUAACCUAGAACCAUAAAGACCAGGGAGGUUGUGGAAUGUCAAUUUGAUCUAAACAAACUGAUGAAGCACAAACCACUCUGCUACAUUUUGAGCUCAUUGGAACUGAACUUGCUUAGGGCCUGGUAUUGCCCUUUGUGUAUUUUCUGACAGAGAAGUAGACAAUCACAUAACAACAAGUGUGGGGAACAGUCUCAUAAAAUAGCUAGGCAUUGUGGCAUUAUUUCAAAUGAGAGACAAUAUACUGUAUGACUGAUUUGCUCAUAGGUAGAAUUAUUUCAUUGAAGGAGUCAAAAGUUUCAAAACAAGCCUAAUAAUAAUACAAAAAGGGAUAAGAAAGAUACAGAAUAAAAAGAAAAGUAUAAACAUAAGCGAAAUAUUAAACUAAAAAAUACAAUUGUUGAAUCGAAGAACAUGUUUGUUGGAAUAAAGUGUGGAAAGGAUGUAUCUGAAGGAUAAAUGUGUGUAUUAGGAGGUAAAUGGAAAUGAAGCCAUGUAAACAGCAUGUUUGUUGCAUCAGCACUAUAAUAUGUUCUAAUAUAAUGGGGAAAGUGUAGAGAAAUGUGUAUCUCAGACUUCAUAUUUCUUUUUUUAAUUGUACAUUAUUAAGGGAUACAGAGUGAAAUUUCAUUAUCUCUAUACAAUGUAUGAUGAUCAAAUCAGGGUAAUUAACAUAUCCAUCACAUCAAACAUUUCUCAUUUCUUUGUGUUGUGAACAUUUGAAAUAUUCUCUUUUAGCUUUUUGAAAAUAUACAAUAAAUUAUAGUUAACCAUAUUCACCCUA
ensembl:lncRNA novel transcript